rnacentral:lncRNA from 1 species
UUAUACGCACUUCCAAAAAAACUUCGCAAGUCACAGAAACAAUUCAGAAUUCAACUAAGAAAAUACAGAGUGAACCAUAUGGCCUGGGUGGCUCGAGUCGGCUGCAUUUUACUCCAGACAAAGAAGGGAUUGAGAGUUGAAGGAAAGGAGAAAAAAACCAACUUUCCGGCUGAUGAAGCUGUUGUCUGGAGGCAAUGAUCCCAAAUCUGAAGGCUUUAUUCCGGCUCCGACGGAGACGUGAUAUGUCAUAUGAUUAGCAUCUUUCAUAUUUACAAGAGUGGUUGCAGUGAGUGGCCAAGGAGGCAGCGUUUUCCGGAGUGCUUUCUCAUAGGCUUAUCUGUGGCUGAUACCUGAUGAAAACUGAAGAAGUAGGAACUACCUCUUAUGGAGGGGAAGCAGACCUACAGUGGGCCAGGCCCUGUACCAGUCAGCUUGCUUAGAGUAUGCCAGCACAUAAAAGCAAGUCUCGGACUUCCCUGGUGGCGCAGUGGUUAAGAAUUGGCCUGCCAACGCAGGGGACACGGGUUCAAGCCCCAGUCUGAGAAGAUCCCACAUGCUGCAGAGCAACUAAGCCCGUACGCCACAACUACUGAGCCCACGUGCCACAACUGCUGAAGCCCACGCCUCGAGCCCAUGCUCCGCAACAAGAGAAGCCACCACAAUGAGAAGCCUGCGCACCUCAACAAAGAGUAACCCCCGUUCGCCGCAACUAGAGAAAGCCCGGGCGCAACAACGAAGACCCAACGCAGCUG